UUUAAUGAGGUGAUUUGUGCAUUUUACAUUUUGGUUGUAAAGGUGAUUAGAUAUCCGUUAAAA
rnacentral:tRNA from 1 species